GACGAACGCUGGCGGCGUGCCUAAUACAUGCAAGUCGAACGCAGUGGGGACGGGUGAGUAACACGUGGGUAACCUCCCAUCAGAGGGGAUAACACUUGGAAACAGGUGCUAAACCGAUACUGAUGGAUGGACCUGCGGUGCAUUCGCUCGGUGGUGUGGUAAAGGCUCACCAAGGCCACGAUGCAUAGCCGACCUGAGGGGGGGAGCGGCCACACUGGGACUGAGACACGGCCCAGAUGCCGACGGUAGGCAGCAGUAGGGAAUUUUCGGCAAUGGACGAAAGUCUGACAGAGCAACGCCGCGUGAGUGAAGAAGGUUUUCGGAUCGUAAACCUCUGUUGUUAGAGAAGCGGUAUCUAACCAGAAAGCCACGGCUAACUACGUGCCAGCAGCCGCGGUAAUUC
rnacentral:rRNA from 1 species